ACCAAGGCUCCAGGUGCAGCCUCGGGGCUGCAGGUGUGGGUGGCCCAGGGUCAGGCCUGGGCUCCCUGGCCCCCCUGGCAGAGGUCAGGCCUGGGCUCCCUGGCCCCCCUGGCAGGCACACCUAGAGAUGCCUAUGCCUAAAGCAGGGGAGGGGGAGGGAGAGGGAGGGGAGGAGGGAGGAGUUGAAGCAAACGGAGCGAGAAGAAUGGGUGAGGAGUACAGGGAGGAGGGGCAGGGGAGGGAGGAGCUCCGGCCUCGUCCUCCCACCCUGCCUGGGACUUACUGUGUCGCUCUCGCCGUCGGAGGCGGGCCGCGCGCUAUAGUGAAGCGGGGAGUACACCCAGCUCCUCUCGUCGGUGGG